GUCCAGGAGCGGGAAUCGAACCCACAACCUUCUGCUUACCGGGCAGGUACCAUGUCCACUAGGUUAUCCAGGA
rnacentral:tRNA from 1 species